ACUUAAUGUGACAAAAAAUACAUAUUAAGAACUCACAAAGCUUUCUUUUCUUUCUUUUUUUUUUUUUUUUUUUUUUUGACUGGCCUAUUAAUUCAAAACUAGUUUCCUUACUAUGCAAGGAGCUUUACUAGGCAGUAAAAUGAAUACAAAGUUAAAUUUAGUAUGGGAGAAGAAAUGUUUGUAAAUAUCUGUAAUACAAAGAAUCAUGUUAAAAAAAAUAGCAUAGAAGAAAAACAGGUAACAUGGAGAUUUAGACCUUGAAAGGUUUGGGCAACAUUCUAACAGUCCAAGUUGGGUAAAGAAGUUUAAGGGGAAGAAAUAGUAUGAACAAAUACAUAGAGGCAGGAAAACUUGUAGCGUGUUUGAAGAAUGGUACAAGUACAGUUUCUCCGAAGUGUAGGGUUCUGAAAGUAGAUGGUGUUUGGAAGAUAACACUGCAAAGUGCAGGCAUGCCACAGAGAAAUGUCUUAGAUGUAGUAGAAAGAACAGACCCAUAUAAGAAGACUUGCAAUCAGGUUUUUCCCUUAUUUCUGGGUGAUGAUUUCUGCAACUGGAAAAUAGUAAUAAAUGUGCCCACCUCACAGUGACCUAUGAUGGUGUCUGUGUUUUCUAAACUGUAAAACACCAUGCAAAUACAAGAUACAGAUGUCCUCCUCCUCGUGGCACCAAAAUUCUGUGUGGCUUCCUUUUUCUCCUCCUCUCUCCCAAGUUUUUCAAAUGUGGCUUUUCCCACUGAGUUUACUGCUCCCUGCCCAUUUCCUGCCUUUGCUUAUUACACGGAGAACUGGCUCUCUGGGCAGUGCUCCCUAUGCCAGUUGGCAGACAAAGUCCUUAGAAGGCAGAUGCUCCAAUUCUGACAUCAUCACCAAAAUCUCUUCUAGUUUUCUGAGAAGAGCCCUCUCCUACCCCCAUCUUGCAAGGGAACUGGUACCUUUCUUUCCGUGGCUCUCUGUCCCUCCCACCUCAUUUUCCCUCUGAAGGAGGUAGUUCAUUCCCCACUGAGUUUGCCAGCAGGAACACCCUCUCAUUUCCUCCCUGUCUGCCUGCUUCUCCUUCUCCCCUUUCCUCCUCAUGUGAUCCAUGAAAGUUUUACAAAGGACUUUGACUCAGGCCAAGAGAAAACAAAAGAUUAGAAAAGAAGAGUCUAGUGAAUGCAUGGUUUGAUUUGAAAUACAUUUGCCACGUUGCCAGGAACAUUUUGACUACACAGCUUCUAGUUCCUUUGUGAAUUCUCAGAUAGCCCAGUCUGACUCCUUUUCUUUUUCUUUCCUGGGUGAGUCUUCCCUUCAAUUAUGUACCCUCAUCUUUCGGUUCUAGGAUCUUUUGGUUCUAGGAUAGGUUAAUGGAAAUAAAUGUAGUGAUGAAUGAUACAAGUUGUUACGUAGCAGGACAAGCCGCAGACAAAACUCCUCAGACACCAAGUUAAAGAAGGAAGGGGUUUAUUCGGCCGGGGGCAUCGGCAAGACUCCUGUCUCAAGAGCCGAGCUCACCGAGUGAGCAAUUCCUGUCCCUUUUAAGGGCUCACAACUCUAAGGGGGUGCACGCGAGAGGGUCGUGAUCGAUUGAGCAAGCAGCGGGUACGUGACUGGGGGCUGCAUGCACUGUUAAUUAGAUCAGAACAAAACAGGAUAGGGAUUUUCACAGUGCUUUUCUAUACAAUGUCUGUAAUCUAUAGGUAAAAUAACCGAUUAGGUCAGGGGUCGAUCUUUAACGACCAGGCCCAGGGUGUGGCGCCGGGCGGUCUGCUUGUGGAUUUCAUUUCUGCCUUUUAGUUUUUACUUUUUCUUUCUUUGGAGGCAGGAAUUGGGCAUAAGGCAAUAUGAGGGGUGGUCCCCUCCCUUAGUUAAUUGGCUAAGGAAUUUAGAAAGAUGGUGGUUUUCAUUAUGUCAGUUUCAGCAACUUAAGAUGGUUUCACUUAUUCAUCAGUGACUUUUUUUCCCCCAAAUGUCCUUGGUAAAAAUGACAGGGGCUAUUUACUUAAUAUUAGUAUUUCCCACAGCAUAGCAUUUUUGGUAACAUAACAAUUUAAGGCCCCUAGGGAGCAUUUAGAUGGUUUUUCAUUCUGGUAAGAGUUAGAUUAAAAAUUGCAGUCUUUUUAUUUUUUGGAUCUAGACCUCUAGAGACGAGACCAUUCCAGACCUGCAUAAAAUUCCUUCAGCCAACUUCUCCUUCAAGGAUUUUGAGAAGGUCAUCCUAAGAGCCUAGCCUAAGCUGCAGCAAGGUUGCAGUGGCCAUAAUCUACCUGGCGUGUUGUUUCUGUUGAUUUUUCCCCAAACUUCUCUGAUCCUAGUGUGGGGUAUGUGAAAAAGGGGAGACGAGGGGUAGGGGAGACGAGGGGUAGAGGAGGCCCUCACAAAACAGUGUCAGUGAAUCUCGUAUUUGGUUUUCCGAAGGCAUGUUGCUAGCUGCAGAUUGCUGUCUAGAUUUCUUGCUGGGAAGCUUAAUCUAAUAAAAAAUCUUUCAACAUUUCUGCAGUUCUGUUCUAAAUCAGUGGGAAUCAGGUGAUACUUUGGCUGUUUUACCUGUUCUUUCCUCUUAUAUGACCAUGAAAAUGUUAAAAUAAUAGUUGAAACAUCCGUUGGCUCAGCUGUUUAAUGUGUAAGUUCAGUGUCCCACAGGCCAUUCUCCAUAAGGCAGCAGCUACCCAACCAUGAUAAAUUUAGUGUCAGGUCUGCAUUCAGAGCACACUGUGUCCCACUUUAAGAAAUUGCCCUGGGUCAUGUAGCUAGUUGUAGAAGUCUGUGCAAAUGCUGGUGAUUCCCAGGGAAGAAAGAUAAUAUUUUUCUUUGACCUGGAUCUCUGUUUCUAUUGAUUCUCAGAGUGGUUCUCCUGGUGAGAAUCCUUUCCACUUCUGAAUGCUUUGUGCCACUUGUCUCAGGGUAGGGCCUGAGUAUUGUCACAUUUAUGAAACUAUACAUAUGUGGUUCUGAUAUGCAGCUAGCAUUCAGAAGACUGAUCUGGAACGGUCAGGCUCGGCAAAUGUAUGUGGAUACAUAGUAAUGAUAACAUGAAAACUUUCAAGUGCGUAGAUGGUUUCACACCCACAAUCAGUUGACAGUGCUUCUUGUGUUGAUUACCCACCUGUGAAAAUGGAUUUGCAGCAAUUCCUCUUCCCUAGUCCUCACUGUGAGCAAUGGAAAACUUAGUUGAGAUGAGCUUUGACUAUGGAAUGAGACAAGCCAAUUAUUCCAUGUUGGAACUGCCUCUGAAUUUUAUUAUCUAUAAUGCUUGUUUUUAUCAACUUAGAAAACUGACCUGAAAGUCAUAAGCUAAACCAUCAAUGGGCACAUUAGCUCAUGACAUGUAUACACUAGCAGCUGACAGUGGAAUACAAUUCAGAAAGAGAGAAAAGGAAGGGGUGGAGUCAGACACCUUCUUGGAUAUCUACUAUGUGCCAGGAAUUACUUUAAACACUGUGUAUCUGUUCUCAUUCAAUCCCUACAACAAUACUUCACCUUUUUUCUGUUCAAUAAAAUUAACUGAUCCACGGAUCCACUCUUUGCACAGAGCACUGAAAUAUUCUCAUCAGCAACUUUCAGUUAAGCAAUAUUUAGACAUUACUUUUCCAGGGCCAUGGAAAUUGCAGAUUUAAACCCUGAAACCUGUCAAACCUUGUGCAAAAUGACAAAGCCCACCUCCCCUAACACCGUCCUGAACAGUGGAUCCCUGUGGACUAGCUAGAAGACCAACCCAAAAAGUCAGGUCAUUAUCACUGGAAUAAUUGUCAUUGAUACAGCAAC
rnacentral:lncRNA from 1 species